rnacentral:pre_miRNA from 1 species
UGUAAACAUCCUACACUCUCAGCUGUAGCGGUCCAGUUGGGCUGGGAGCGGGGUGUUUGCU